UUCCGAUCUCAUCAACCGUUCAUGGCGGAACGAACACGCCGUCGCAACUGAGAUACUCCGAUUGGACUCCGCUUUCGUUCUGAGGUCCAGAGAACACAUACUAUUGAAGGGUUCGCGUGUGGUGAAAUUGGACACUGUAUCAUGAAUCCUUCAGAUUGAAAUGAACGCGAUGAAAAUAGAUGAAUGGUCGUGUCCAGCUUCGUAAGCAAUAAACCAUAAGUUCGUCUCAUGUAAACAUGUUGAUUGUUGCAAUCAGCUUCAUAGAUUUUCGUAUGCAUCAUGGGAGAUUUCUGCUUAAUUCGGUGUUAAUUUUAUCAUUCAGUUGAUCCAAAGGGCAUAGAUUGAGAUAUCGAUUGCUUUAGGAUGGAUCUGAAUGCUGUUACGUGUUCUUCUUGAAUGGUGAUCUAAAUAUCAUUUUUAGAUCGAUUAAUUCAUGUUUGACAUCCAAAAAAUAACCACCGAGUUUUUGGAAUCGGCUCCCUUAUCAAGAACAGAAGUGAGGCAACAAGCAUGAGGCUGAUCUGUUAUCCAAACUUGAUACUUCACUCUGGAAGUACACUAUGAAGUUCAAGACGUUCUAAUUUUUGCAAUUACCCCAUUGUUGCAGGCCUAAUGAAUACAUGAAACAACCUUUUGAUCAAUCUGUUUUGUGAAAAUUGUUAGAUGGUUACAAGUUUUCCUUUAAAGCAAUCCACGAUAUCUAAAGAAAAUGGCAUGGUAAUUUGAUAAUCUUCUUGAGUUUGCAUAUAUUUUACCUGCAAUAAUGGCAUAUGUGCAAGCAAAACACUGUUCGAAGUUAAAAAUGUAAGAAUAUUGUAGAAGAUAUCUAAAGAAUCAAAAUGGAAAAUAGCCAAAUGAUUAUCUGGUAAGAUCAUGAGUAGCAUUUUCUCUCAAUUUUGGACUUCAUUUUCUGAUCCUAAACUGUUCUAUUGAAUUUCCUUAUGAUGCUUCAGGUUGCAGCAACAGCAAGUGACUCAAAAAGUUGUCUGUAUCUUGCUUUUUCUGCGUGAAUUUGAGUCCCGAAAACCCAUCUUUAUGUGAUGGUGUAGUUUGUUUCAGUCAUUAUGGAUUCACACCUUACCACACAAGCUCAAAGUCCCCGAGCCUGAGGAUAACGACCUAUCUAUAAAUUACACUUCAAAGCGAAACGAUAUGGUCCAAGGUCAUCAGUUCGAUUCCUCAGGGCGACUGGGGAUUUUCCUGGCUGUUACUUUCAGGAAAGCCAGCUAAGACAUCCACAGUUACCCAGAAAAAGAACAUGACAUGGUACUAAGGUUGCUGGCAAAAUUGAGCGGAGGAUGCAGCAGUGGUGGUGGGUGGUGGUGGUGGGUGGUGAUGGUGGUUCUUGGAAAGUAGAGGCAAUGUUUUCCUUCCUAGAAAGGUAUGGUUCUUUUCAAACAAUCACAAUCAACAAACGAAAAAGGCUUCUUUUCCAAGUGAUGAUGAUGAAUUUAAAGUUGUUAUAUGAGAGAAUAGAAACUCCCUUCCC